rnacentral:rRNA from 1 species
GGAAAACCUUCAAAAUGGACGAAGUCUGAUGGAGCACGCCGCGUGAGUGAAGAAGGGUUUCGGCUCGUAAACUCUGUUGUUAAGAAGAACAUAUCUGAGAGUAACUGUUCAGGUAUUGACGGUAUUUAACCAGAAAGCCACGGCUAACUACGUGCCAGCAGCCGCGGUAAUACAAA